rnacentral:tRNA from 1 species
UCCCUGGUGGCUCACAUGGUAAAGAACCUGCCUGCAAUGCAGGAGACCCAGGUUCAAUCCCUGGGUUGGGAA